rnacentral:tRNA from 1 species
GGGGAUAUAGCUCAGUGGGAGAGCACUGUAAAAUUUAUUUACAGAGGUCGGGGUGUUCGAUUCCCUCUAUCUCCACCA